GGAGAGAUGGCAGAGUGGUCGAUUGCGCUCGACUUGAAAUCGAGUGACUGUCACAGGUCCGUGGGUUCGAAUCCCACUCUCUCCG
rnacentral:tRNA from 2 species